UAGUUUUCUGGUUGUGUCCUCCAGCUGUUUCAACUCAUUCUCUUUGUCCUUCACUUGCUGAAUCAGCUGGUCAUGUCGCUGCUGUGCAACCUUGGUCUGGUGCUGAAGUGACUUGAUUUCCUGCAACCAGGAAGUUUCUUCUGAAAGUUGUGGCGAGUGCUGUGGGUGCCUGUACAGGCAGCUUCUGCCUGCACAACAAUUGCAUCACGCUUUGCAACACUUUGCUCAAGAUCUCCAAUCAGCUUUUCCUGAGCUUUGCGCAGCUGUGAAUAUCUGACCUGCACAACAACAUUACAAUAUUUUUAACCCUUAAUUUCUAACCUAAAGGCUUAAAGAAUUUGGGAUUGUAUGCUGAGCUGUAACACAUUAUUCAGACAGUGAAAAUACCUGCAUACGGUGGAUUUCAGCUUUCAUGGCCACCAUGUCACCCUCUUUUCCUUUCUCAUACUGAGUGUUCUGCUUGGUUUCCUGUGCUAUCUGCAACUUCUUCUCCCAGGCCAGAAAUUCCUGUUGUUUUUCUAGCAGUGACCCUCCGAGUUGAAUUUUUUCUUGCUCCAGAUCAUGGAUUUCUGACUUCAGCUUUACAGCUUCUAACUCUGCAUCCUGUAACAAAAGAGUACUCUUUAUAUUUGUAGUCAUAAUUUGUCUAUAGCAAGAAUAUGAAACAAAUAUGUGAGGUUGAGUUUUGCAGUGGUGGAAAUGAGAACUAUGGUCUUCUGUAUUAUGACACCAUGUAGUGUCAUAUGUGGGUACCAACUUUAUUCAGGAAUAUGUCUCCAUCUUCAGGGUAGAAUGUAUAAGCUAUAUGACUACACAGCAUCAUAACCCAAAAGACCACAGUCCUUAUUUGAAGCUUAUUCCCGCAUUCCAUGAAUGAGAAUGAAUUACAACAAAAUCAUGUAUCCUGACUGAUUAUAUGGCAAUAAUCAGAAGUGAACCCUUUUUUCAUGUGUUAUAAAUUAGUUUUCCUGAUGCUGCCAAACUAAUUUAAAUCCUUUAGAUUGGAAUCAAACUGUCAUAAUAUAUUUCACGAUGUUAUGUUUGCAAAACUUGUGUUGCUUGCACAAUUGCCAUGUUUGUAUAACUGAUGAUAGGACAUUAAAAACUGUAGAGAUGGUGUAUGCCUAGUGGUAUGAUGUGCAUACUGAGUUUCAUGAAAAUCUUUGUUAUUGGUUCAAAAGUUAGGGGCAUGGGGGAGGUGGUAGUCACUGGGUUUGUCUCUCUAUCUAAACUAAGGAAAGUAGGUUAAAAAAUAUUUUUUGUGCAUAGUGGUAAUAAUUAUGUACCAUCAGGGCUCUGUCCUGUUGAAGCUGUACAUAGUGGAUAUUGAAUUACUUUCAAGAAGAGAUGUACCUUGAGUACGCUCAUGUAGUAGGUCUCUGUAUACAGGUUCUCCUUGUCCAGUAUUUCCAUAUAUUCCUUCCUCUCGCAGAGUUUCAAGUUCAGUGACAGCAGUUUCUUGUUGAGCGAGGAAAUCGAAUGGUUGAGUACCUUGUUCACCUUUUUUUGGCAAUUAAUCUGAUGCUCGAUCUUCAGGUUUUUUUGAUCCAGAAUGAGCACCUCUGUACAAAAUAGCAGAAACAAUUCAAAUCUGAGAUAAGAAAACAUUAGAGGACCCAAAAUCUCAAGAGUUGAAGAUAUAAAUAUAGAUUAAUUGCAAGAUUGAAUGAACUGUGACUUAUUCACUGGUGCACAGAGAGAUGUUUAUUGCUGUCUCUUACGUUUGUGCGUGAGGUUUAUGUUGUGGACUUGCUCAUUCCUUUGGUUUGCGAGUUUAACAGUAAGAGUCUGCUGCUGUAACCAAAACUGCUGCAGCUCCUCACAUUUCGCUAUUGUUUUUGUGAUGUUCUUCUCUAGGGCUUUAAUUUUUAUCUCUUGAGGGCUUAGGUAUUCAUCCUGUAACAACAGUGUCCAUAAAAUAACAGAGACAUUUGGAAACAAAGUUCUAUGUAUUUGUAAAUUGUAGGAAUUGCAGUUUUCAUGGGAGUGAGUCUGAAGAUGGCUGUCUUCUGGGUUGUUGCGCCGUUUAGUCUGGUAGAAGUUUACCGACAUUUCAGAAGACAGCCAUCUUCUGGUUGUAAUUGUACUGAACUUCUCGCUACAAUACUUAAAAUACAAAUGUGUUAUGAAAAACUAAACCAGCCAAAUGAUAGUUAUAAAAAUUAAAUGUUAUCAUUUUUGCAUUGCCACCAUGUAGUUACUUUUAUAUUUUUCUAAGAAAAAAUGUAAUAAAAAGUAUCAUGGUCUGAAAGAUCUAUCACGUAA